CCUACGGGAGGCAGCAGUGAGGAAUAUUGAUCAAUGGACGGAAGUCUGAACCAGCCAUGCCGCGUGCAGGAAGACGGCUCUAUGAGUUGUAAACUGCUUUUGUACAAGGGUAAACCUGAAUACGUGUAUGCAGCUGAAAGUACUGUACGAAUAAGGAUCGGCUAACUCCGUGCCAGCAGCCGCGGUAAUACGGAGGAUCCAAGUGUUAUCCGGAUUUAGUGGGUUUAAAGGGUGCGUAGGCGGAUUGAUAAGUUAGAGGUGAAAUGUCCGAGCUUAACUCGGGAACUGCCUCUCAUACUGUUGAUCUAGAGCGUAGCUGCGGUAGGCUGCAUGUCUGGUGUAGCGGUGAAAUGCUUAGAGCUCAUAC
rnacentral:rRNA from 1 species